CCCAAAAUUGCAACUACUAGUAGAACCCUAGUCCAGUGCGACCCAAAACCCAAGCUCCUCCUCACACCAUUGCAGUUGCAGCAUCAGUGCAAGCACCACCCAUGGCGAUGGCCUCCACCCUCCCGCUCCUCCUCGUGCACCGCUCCACCCCUCCGACUCCGAGGCCCACCGCGCCGCCGCUCCUCCACUCCCGCCGCCUCGCCCUCCCUCCCCGCCCCGCCUCGCUCCCGGCGACAACCGCCGUCGUCCACCCGCGCAAGGGCGUCCGCCUCUCGAAGCUCCAUGCCGCCUCCUGCUGCGAUUCCGCCUCCGCCGCCGGAGUCGCCGCCGGAGGAGGAGGUGGUGGUGGUGGAGCAAAAGGAGAAAUGGAUUGGCGUCUCCUGCUGGCUUGGUACCUGCUGGCUCUUGAUAAGCAUCCCAUCACCACUAAGGCUGUUACCUCUGCCGUCCUAACCCUGACCGGAGACCUCAUCUGCCAGCUCGCAAUUGAUAAAGUGCCAAAGCUAGAUUUGAAGAGAACGUUUGUAUUCACAUUUUUGGGACUCGUCCUGGUGGGGCCAACAUUGCAUGUCUGGUACUUGUACUUGAGUAAAUUAGUGAUGAUCAAUGGUGCGUCAGGUGCAAUUGCUCGCCUCUUACUUGAUCAGUUCAUUUUCUCUCCCAUUUUCAUUGGAGUGUUUAUGAGUUUACUCGUCACCUUGGAGGGAAAGCCUUCUCUUGUAGUUCCAAAGCUCAAGCAGGAGUGGUUAUCAUCAGUGAUUGCAAAUUGGCAAUUGUGGAUACCUUUUCAGUUCUUGAAUUUUUACUUUGUCCCACAAAAAUUUCAGGUUCUUGCUGCUAAUUUUGUAGCCCUUGCGUGGAACGUGAUUCUAUCAUUUAAAGCUCACAAAGAAGUUACUGUGAAAUAGGUAAUCUGGGAUGGUAUAUAUAUAUGGAUAUGUUAUAUGAUAUCCUUACUUCAGGCUCUCAUAUUAAUUUGUUGAGGCGGGUGUCUGAUAUAAUAACUUUUCCAACAAGGGUUUAGGCAGAUUCGGAUUUAUAGUUGGCGACAUGGAGAAGUGUACGUAGUGGCUUGUCGCAGCUGCAGUUUUUUUUUUUUUUUUUUUUUUUUUUUUUUUUUUUGAGAAAGGGAGGGUAUCUCCAUUGGCAUUUCAAGCAUCAAAACACUGGUUUCCAGUUCCAUCGCCGUCUUCAAACUCUUCGCCAUCAGUUUAGCCUGCCUCUGUUUCCCAGCUGCAGUUUACUAAAGUAUGAGCUCCACCUCCAUGCCCGGCGAGCAUAACUCUCUUUUGUGCCCCUAACAGUUGAGGUGUAGAAAUUCUUUGGUAGUGAAAUAUCUAGGGCGUGUUCCUUACUGGUAUUGCUGUACUGAAGGCGGCAAAGUAAGUAACCAUAUCACCGUGAUGGCAUGCCUGAGCCUGCAAACGCAUGGUGUUGAGAUCUUGUACAUUGUUAUAUGUAGAGGUCAAGUGAGUAGGUUCAAACUGUCAUUAUCUGAA